GAAAUGCGAUAAUUAAUGUGAAUUGCGGAAUUCAGUGAAUCAUCGAGUCUUUGAACGCACAUUGCGCCCCCUGGUAUUCCGGGGGGCAUGCCUGUCCGAGCGUCAUUGCUGCCCUCAAGCACGGCUUGUGUGUUGGGCUUCCGUCCCUGGCAACGGGGACGGGCCCAAAAGGCAGUGGCGGCACCAUGUCUGGUCCUCGAGCGUAUGGGGCUUUGUCACCCGCUCCCGUAGGUCCAGCUGGCAGCUAGCCUCGCAACCAAUCUUUUUAACCAGGUUGACCUCGGAUCAGGUAGGGAUACCCGCUGAACUUAAGC
rnacentral:misc_RNA from 1 species